rnacentral:rRNA from 1 species
UAGGGAAUCUUCGGCAAUGGGGGCAACCCUGACCGAGCAACGCCGCGUGAGUGAAGAAGGUUUUCGGAUCGUAAAGCUCUGUUGUAAGUCAAGAACGAGUGUGAGAGUGGAAAGUUCACACUGUGACGGUAGCUUACCAGAAAGGGACGGCUAACUACGUGCCAGCAGCCGCGGUAAUACGUAGGUCCCGAGCGUUGUCCGGAUUUAUUGGGCGUAAAGCGAGCGCAGGCGGUUUGAUAAGUCUGAAGUUAAAGGCUGUGGCUCAACCAUAGUUCGCUUUGGAAACUGUCAAACUUGAGUGCAGAAGGGGAGAGUGGAAUUCCAUGUGUAGCGGUGAAAUGCGUAGAUAUAUGGAGGAACACCGGUGGCGAAAGCGGCUCUCUGGUCUGUAACUGACGCUGAGGCUCGAAAGCGUGGGGAGCGAACAGGAUUAGAUACCCUGGUAGUCCACGCCGUAAACGAUGAGUGCUAGGUGUUAGACCCUUUCCGGGGUUUAGUGCCGCAGCUAACGCAUUAAGCACUCCGCCUGGGGAGUACGGCCGCAAGGCUA